AAGUUGAAUUUGUCUAUCAAUUAUGACCGCAACACAGACUCUUGCAUAACGCAUAGUGCAUAAGGAAAUCAAUCAAUUGAAAUUCUUCUUUUCCAUAGAAUGGGAGGAAAAAAAAGAUUCUGAUUGUUAUGCACUAUGCGUUAUGCAUCAUGCAAAAGUUUGUGCUGCGACCUUUAGCGUCGUCGCUGGAUCUGUGUUCAUCUUGAUUCUCGAGCUGUAUUAUUUCGAUUGAUCUCGAUUCAAAAUAAAAAAUGAACUUUGAUGAUUAAUCCCUCAAUCUCGUACAAACAUGCGGAUUGUGUGAAAUAAUUUGCGAGCAAGCAAAUAUCGCGAAUCAUGCUUAUUUAAAAGAUUAUACACAAUACAUAAUUACAUUAUAUUUUUAUCCUAUAUUAGAUGAAGUGAUCAUAAUAAAAAGCAGAGUGCCAAGCAUAAACAAAAAACAAAUAGCAACAAUGCAAUCACAUAAGAAAAAUAGAGUUUGUUACGCCUAUACAAGGAAUAUUAUCUGAACAAAAUUCUUAUGAGAAACGAAGAAAUUAAGUUGGAAGCUUAAAAACAAAACUUCAUCAAUCAUGAUGAAGAAAUUCUCAUUUAAGAAGUCCAGUUACGAAAAUCUUUUUGAAAUUUUAUAUAAAUUUCCAUUACCACUACGCAACAUAAAAAUUACAAAUUUAUGGCAAGAAGUAGCAAAUGCUUUAAAUGGAGAAAAUUACAGCCAAUGGAGCUAAAAUAAAAUGUACAAGCUUACAUAAUACAUAUCGACGAAUAAUUAGAUCAGAAAUUAGUGCCAGUGGAUCUGCUCAAAAAAAAACAAUGGAAAUAAAUAACCUCAUUACGACUCAAUGGAAUUUUUAUGAAAUUCUUGCUUGUUGAAAAUAUAGUGGGUCUCGCAAGAAAAGAAAGAAGAGUAAUUCUGAAAAGUCUGCCAAAGCAAUAUAUAAAAUUGCAAAAGCAUUGUGCAACGCUAA